GACGAACGCUGGCGGCGUGCUUAACACAUGCAAGUCGAGCGGUAAGGCCCUUUCGGGGGUACGACGAGCGGCGAACGGGUAGGAGUAACAACGUGGGUGGACCUCGCCCUCCAGCUCUGGGAGUAAGACCUGGGAAACCGGGGUACCGUAAUACCGGAUAUGACUCCAUGACGCAUGUUGUGGGGUGGGAAAGCCUUGUGCGGCUGAGGAUGGGCCCGCGGCCUAUCAGCUUGUUGGUGGGGUGGAUGGCCUACCAAGGCGACGACGGGUAGCCGGCCUGAGAGGGCGACCGGCCACACUGGGACUGAGACACGGCCCAGACUCCUACGGGA
rnacentral:rRNA from 1 species